UCGGCAGUAAGAGGAAUUAUUUUGCUUCUCAAUUUUUUAGCACAAAGGACUUUCGCCCGAUCGUGUGGAGGAAUGUCAAGGAGACUCCUCUUUCUUAGAUUUGGUUCAGAGGUUGGUGGGGUUGGUUCAGAAGUUGGUAGGGUUGGUUCAGAGGUUGUUGUGGGUUCAGUUGAAGGAAUCGUUUGUGGGUUUACCUCAGGAAGUACCUCCUCGUCGCUUUCAGGAUUUAUCUCGCGAGGAGUCCUGGCCCUUUUAGCGGCCUUCUUCCUUCGGCGAGGUCGGAGGACCGCUUCGGGGAUGAUAGGAUUGUCAGCUUCAGGGUCAUCAUCCCGAAGGGGAGUUGUUGUUGGCUCGGGGGCAGGG
rnacentral:lncRNA from 1 species